rnacentral:ribozyme from 1 species
UUUUUUUUUUUUUUUUUUUUUUUUUUUUUUUUUUUUUUUUUCGCCCAA